rnacentral:rRNA from 2 species
AACGACUCUCGGCAACGGAUAUCUCGGCUCUCGCAUCGAUGAAGAACGUAGCGAAAUGCGAUACUUGGUGUGAAUUGCAGAAUCCCGUGAACCAUCGAGUCUUUGAACGCAAGUUGCGCCCGAGGCCUUUGGCCGAGGGCACGUCUGCCUGGGCGU